UUGUUAGCAAAAAGUCGUAACAAGGUCUCCGUCGGUGAACCAGCGGAGGGAUCAUUA
rnacentral:rRNA from 1 species